GCGGCGGACGGGUGAGUAACGCGUAGGCAACCUGCCCCGUACAGAGGGAUAGCCUACGGGAAACCGGGAUUAAAAACCUCAUAAUACCAUGGUAUCACAUGAUGCAAUGGUCAAAGAUUUAUCGGUAUGGGAUGGGCCUGCGUCUGAUUAGCUGGUUGGUGGGGUAACGGCCUACCAAGGCAACGAUCAGUAGCCGACCUGAGAGGGUAAUCGGCCACAUUGGAACUGAGACACGGUCCAAACUCCUACGGGAGGCAGCAGUGGGGAAUAUUGCACAAUGGGCGAAAGCCUGAUGCAGCAACGCCGCGUGAGCGAAGAAGGCCUUUGGGUCGUAAAGCUCUGUCGGGAAGGAAGAUAAUGACGGUACUUCCCGAGGAACGCCCCGGCUAACUACGUGCCAGCAGCUGC
rnacentral:rRNA from 1 species